AAAAGAGUGCAUCUCCAUGCUUUUCAAAGACCAGCGCCCGAAUAUGUAGAUGCAGACACAGUGGGAGAGAAGAACUGACCGCAUUUAACAUGGUAAGUGUGAAAGAAGCGGUUAGUGGAAAUGAACA
ensembl:ncRNA F54E4.7 ncRNA